rnacentral:rRNA from 1 species
UACGGAGGAUCCAAGCGUUAUCCGGAAUCAUUGGGUUUAAAGGGUCCGUAGGCGGUUUAAUAAGUCAGUGGUGAAAUCUGGUCGCUCAACGAUCAAACGGCCAUUGAUACUGUUAGACUUGAAUUACAAGGAAGUAACUAGAAUAUGUAGUGUAGCGGUGAAAUGCUUAGAUAUUACAUGGAAUACCAAUUGCGAAGGCAGGUUACUACUUGUGGAUUGACGCUGAUGGACGAAAGCGUGGGGAGCGAACAGGAUUAGAUACCCUGGUAGUCCACGCCGUAAACGAUGGAUACUAGCUGUUGGGGGCAACUUCAGUGGCUAAGCGAAAGUGAUAAGUAUCCCACCUGGGGAGUACGUUCGCAAGAAUG